CCUUGUGGAGGAGGACGCCGAAGGUGGGGCUAAUGACUGGGGUGAAGUCGUAACAAGGUAGCCGUACCGGAAGGUGCGGCUGGAUCACCUCCUAACAGGGAGACAACAAAAUGUUAAAUAUUAAUUUUGUCACCUUAGGUCGAUCGGUAUCUCAGAUUCUUAAUUACUUUAAGAAUUUCAUUUCCUAAGUUUUUUCUAGGUCACACCCAUUACUUUCCCUGGGCCAUUAGCUCAGGUGGUUAGAGCGCACCCCUGAUAAGGGUGAGGUCCCUGGUUCAAGUCCAGGAUGGCCCAUAUCUCUAUGUUGGGGGUAUAGCUCAGUUGGUAGAGCGCCUGCUUUGCAAGCAGGAUGUCAGCGGUUCGAGUCCGCUUACCUCCACUGAUUACCACCUCUUCCAUAAAUUUAAAGAAGGGAAUUGUUAAUAGAGGUGAUUUAGUUCUGAACGAAUCUAGCUUCCUAAUAAAUACAUUAAGAUGCUGGACUCAUUGAAUUUUAUUCAUUGUUUUCAGAGAACCUUGACAACUGCAUAGAUUAUUUUUAAAGACAAUAAGCAUCUUUAAUGAUGCAGAUUUAUUAUUUGUGCUAAUGCAUUAAUAACAAUUCUAUUGAGCUGAUGCUUCAAUUUUUUGAAGUUAUUGGUCAAGCUACAAAGGGCUCACGGAGGAUACCUAGGCACACAGAGGCGA
rnacentral:misc_RNA from 1 species